ACUCAACACUAAUUUGUUUGAAAAGGGUGAGUUUAGUUUGUAAAAGCAGGCCUUCUCGAAAGGAUCCUUGAUCAAGCUGUUAGCCCUAAACCUGUUUAUUGGAGUUU
rnacentral:sRNA from 1 species